GAUAUGUACAAAACCUGUGUUUGUGUAGGAACGUCUGUUUAGAUACGUACAAAACCUAUGUUUGUGUAGGAAUGUCUGUUUAGAUACGUACAAAACCUAUGUUUGUGUAGCUAUGCAUACAACACUUAUUUAGUUAGGUGUGUGUAUUUACAAAACCUUUAAUUUCAUUCAUGAUCUAAUCAGGUUAGAAGAAAAGUUGGAUAGCUAGGCCAGUAGUUUUGUGAGAUUGUUAUUCUCAUGCUGAGACGACUAACUCAAACAGUUUGUUGGUCAUAUCAGUUUCAUUCACUUCUUAUCCUCCCACUGUUGUUUUUAUAGUACCAUAAGUAUUCCAUUUGGUUGAAACCACAACAUUUUGGUGAUAAUUUUGAAAUGUUUCUGCAUUCUUGGAAAAACUUAAAACAUACACGUAUACAUUGUUUAUUUUAUUUUGUAAAGGUAAAAAAUUGUUUUUGUUCUGUUGUUUAGUUCUGAUACUUAAAGUAAAGUAGUAAAGGAGAUUUAGCAAGCUUGAGAUACAAAAGAUCUAAGUCAGUUAUAUUAGAGUUUCUAAAAUAUUUAACUUUAUUUACAGAACAUUUUGCAUACAGCAUUUUGCUUGUUUAACCACAGCAUCCAAGGAUGUUGGAACCAGGUUUGAUGUGUGAGAGUGCUGUGCAUGCAUGGUUCCAUUGUAUACAGAGAUUUUGAAUUUGUUCAGUUUGUUUUCAGCACCUCAGUGCUACAAAACGUUGUUACAGCAUCAGUGGUAGCAUCCUGAGGCAAUAGGCAACAAGACUUAAGUUAUUGGUGAAAUUUCUUCUCCUUGAAAAAGUAGUUGUUAAAAUAUAAUUGUUUUAGCUGUUGGAGUUUUCUUUAUAAUUAUCUUUCUACAUGCAGAUACUGUGUUCUAAUUCUUGGUACAUGAAAUAACAUUGAAGUAAUUUGUAGAGUUUGAACCUGGAUGUCCAUGUGAUGAAAUUCAACACAGUGUAUUCCUUUUAUGUAUUAAGAGUACAAUAAGAAUAUAGUUGUGUGUAUGUGAUAUUAUUGAUUAUGAAAAAUGGAAUUUAAAAGUGAUGGUACAUAAUUAAACAUGCUGUUGUUCAAAUCUUGAAAGGACAAGCAAAGUUUAUAGGAUAUACAGUAAGUUGGUUUCAUAUAUCUUGAAGUCUUUAGUUCUAUGUUGUUUAGAGACAGGGGGAUACUUUAUAAUUUUUUUUUCAGUUUCAGUAAGAUACCAGUGUAUUUGGUGUUGCUCCACUUUCUCGAGGAAUACCCACUUGCUAAGACAUCAGCAGUACCACUGUAAGAAGCGCCCUCAAUCAUUCAGGAUGAAGUUUGUGUGUGAAAUCUGUCAUAAAGGAUACAGCAGAUUGGAAGUGCUGAAGAACCACAAGAUGUUUUGUCAACACGGCAAUGAUGUUACAGGCUUUGGAGAAUUAGCAGAGGAUGACCCAUUUCACCUAAGUCAGACCUGAUUAAGUUUGUGUAACCUUGGAAGUUCACCAAAAUCAGGUCCACAAACUGCAGUUAUACUCUAACCACAAGACUUACAGCAGUGUCUAUGGAGAUGAUACUAUCAACCCAGUAAAGUCUGUUACUUGAAGUGAAAUGUAUGGUAACAUAUUCUAAAUGAGAUUUCUGGAUGAUAAUUGUUUUAUUAGCCAUUCUACGUAUUGCUUCUGUUUCUAACUUUACACAAAGCAGAAUAACUAGAGGGACUACUGCUUUGGGGUUAUUUUAAAGUAAUAUGCUGGCUCAAAUCCUAGUUGCUAUUUUUUGUACUUUAAAAAGGUAUAUAUAUAUAUAUUAAGACUAACAAGUUGUCACUGAAAAAAGACUUGGAACUGGAUGUUAAAGUUUCUGAUUGUAUGAGUAUUUUGUUUGUCUUAGUUUAUUCACUAUACAAAAUUUGCAUUAUCAGUUAUAAUUGGAGUUUUCAUAUGCUUAUGUGUUUGGUAACUGAAAGAUAACCUUUUAUUUACUUGUAUUUUGGUGGAUUAUGAAAGGUUAUAUAUACGGAGAUCUUGAAGUAACAUGUAUUACUUAAGUUUCUUUUAUUGCUUUGGACAUGUGUAUUUGUUAUGAAAAUAAAGUUGGUUUGGUGAUUUUUUUUAUCUCAUUGUUUUAGUAAUAUAAGGUUUUGUAAAACUUCAUUUUGUAAUCCUAAACUUAUGAUUGAUUAAAGAUGUUUGUAUUCA